AUCUACGACCAUGCCAUCCUGAAGAAGCCCGAUCCCGUCUGAUCUUGGAAGCUAAGCAGGGUCGGGCCACCGAGGAAGACCAGGUACUGUAGGUA
rnacentral:rRNA from 1 species